rnacentral:rRNA from 1 species
GAUGAACGCUGGCGGCGUGCCUAAUACAUGCAAGUCGAGCGAACGGACGAGAAGCUUGCUUUUCUGAUGUUAGCGGCGGACGGGUGAGUAACACGUGGAUAACCUACCUAUAAGACUGGGAUAACUUCGGGAAACCGGAGCUAAUACCGGAUAAUAUUUUGAACCGCAUGGUUCAAAAGUAAAAGACGGUCUUGCUGUCACUUAUAGAUGGAUCCGCGCUGCAUUAGCUAGUUGGUAAGGUAACGGCUUACCAAGGCAACGAUGCAUAGCCGACCUGAGAGGGUGAUCGGCCACACUGGAACUGAGAAACGGUCCAGACUCCUACGGGAGGCAGCAGUAGGGAAUCUUCCGCAAUGGGCGAAAGCCUGACGGAGCAACGCCGCGUGAGUGAUGAAGGUCUUCGGAUCGUAAAACUCUGUUAUUAGGGAAGAACAUAUGUGUAAGUAACUGUGCACAUCUUGACGGUACCUAAUCAGAAAGCCACGGCUAACUACGUG